CGUUAUUAUUAUUAUUUCAGCGUCUCCUUCAUUUCAGUUCUUCACAAGCGUCAUGGAUAUUUUCUUAUCCCUCCUUUUCUUCCUCCCGCUAUUGUCAUUUAUCAUCGGUUAUGUGGGUAGUUUUUGAGGUCAUUGCUUUAUUUGUUUAGGUUUUCGUUACAUGUGAUCGUGGGAACAGUUGGAAAUUUGGGCAGAUGAGACAUUGAUGGAUAAAUAACAACACACAUCUUCCUGUACCAAGCUUAAGCAGAAUCAAGCAACACUAUUCAUUAGUUAAGGUUAGUAACUUCGUAGAGUGGUGCCACGGUGGCUGGCAGGACGGGACGGCGUCACCUCAGUCCACCUAACCUCACAGCUUGGCCAUAACACCCUCCUCUUCAGGCUGCAUUAUCAGGUGAACGUUUAGAUGAAGAGGAACUGUGAAUCACCCCGGUCGUGCCUGAAGCCUCCUCGAGACGUGUUGGUGUGUUGCAAGACUCGACCUGAGGAGUCACUCGUGGACAAGGAAAAUAUUCAUACCAGAGUGGGAAAGAUACAAUUAUUAACCACUUCGUGUUGUUCCGUAAGGCUUUGUAAAACGUUUAGCUCAGAAAUACCGGAACUGUCUCUCUAGGAAGAUAUUUAUGGGGGUCGGGGAUGUGACUUCUGGCUCUCCGUUGUGUACAUGCAGUUAACCCUUAUCGCCAGCCAUCUAGACUCGCGUGGCAGGGAUUAUCGCCAGCCUUCUAGACUCGCGUGGCAGGGAUUAACGACCUAGAGAUGAAAGCUACACAAUCUUUAUCGCGCACUGCAGCCAACUCGUGGGUUCAGGGAAAGAAGUGCAGCAAGGGAACGGAGGAUGGAGGAAACGUAACGAAUAAAAGAAUUGGUUGAAAAGGAGGAAAAAAAUAACCUUUGUGAGUCUUCGGUGCUUCGCGGAAUAUAAAGUUUUGAAGGUACGGAUUCUCAGUCCUCUGCUCGCAAACCUUUUAACUGCCUGUACAAGACAAAGGGAAUACUGAAACAGAGAGAGAGAGAGAGAGAGAGAGAGAGAGAGAGAGAGAGAGAGAGAGUGUGUGUGUGUGUGUGUGUUGGGAUAUUUAGUUGAUGUUAUAGUCCCAAAUUAUCUGCGAGCGUGUGUGUGUGUGUGUGUGUGUGUGUGUGUGUAGGUGGGGAGGGAAAGAAAGCCAGCAACAAAGUGAUUGUUAGUCGGAUCUCACACUUUCCCUCCAAGACAGUGACUAUGAAUACAAUACACUCAGAUUGGGUUAUGAAACUUAGAUCAAUGCGCAGUUGUGUGGCUGUGGUGUAGCCUAUAUGUCGCUACACCACACCUAACCCUCACACCACGGCCAACUAGCGCCUCGAAAUGCACCUGCCUAUAGAACAUUUACCACUUAACAAACCCUGUACCUUCACCUCUCCCAACAUCCCACAAACUCGUGUUACACUCUGU